rnacentral:sRNA from 1 species
GCUUCUGUCAGGUGUUGCCCUAAUUUGACAACCUGCGUGCCGCUCCCGCAGUAUACGCAGCCUCACCCUUCCCUAGCGGCUAGCGUGUUGUGCUAGCGCCUAUUCUACAAAAGUAGACGCGCCAUGUUCUAACUAGGUACUGACAUCUUCAUCUUCCUCGCUGUCACAUCACACCCCCCUAGUAAAAUGCUGGCGACGCAGAGAGCCAAAGCCGGAGUGAGGUGCACUAACUUCCAGUGUGGCUUAUGCUCAGUUAAACCUCUAGUUAAGCUCAGAAAAUCUACUCGCGCUAACUGAAUACAGUUAAAUCCUGAGCUAGCAUCAUCAUGAGAAAUCACUGGAAGAUAUCAAAUACAACUGGGCAUCAUAGGAUGUAUGGCUGUGGUCUAUGAAUCCAAGCAUGUUUGCGUAGCCUCUUAACAUUUGCCAAUUUACGGCCAUGGCUCCACCUACUUUUACAGAGAUUAUAUAUUCCUUCAAACAAGAUCAGCAACUAAAAGCUAUGUUCCACACCGAUCUGAGCAGUGCAAUUGCUUUCUAACAAAAUAGAGAGAUGGAUCGAAUGCAACUAGUCAAGCCGCACACCAGAAUUAAUUCCAUCCCAGCUUGGAUGGAUGAGAUAACGCGGGCAAAUAAAUGAACACAGAAAAUCACUUGCUCAGAAUGUAGGCAGCUCUUGUUGAUAGCUUGAACUCUACAGUUUCACCUGAAUGGCAGAUGAUGGCUAUGCCUCCGACGCGAGCUCCGUUGAAUCGGCGAACUCGAGUGUGUUUUGACUAUCAGUAAGACAACGCUCGCCUACCCUCAGGGAAUUCUCUUAGUUAAUAGUAACCAUUACCCCAGGCCCAAGCUGAACCCAUCACUCAUACUACGCAGGAUUCUGCAGGGUACGCUAACUGGUCUCGCGGAUUUAUAUGAACAAGGUAUCCUACACGGCGACAUCAGACCCAACAGUGUAUUUGUGGACUAUGAAAACCUGAUGGUUCUAUCAGGGUAAGCCAAGCCCAGAUCGGUGAUCUUGAGAUGGGGUUGAUGAUUUCGCCGGGCUUAAAUGUCUGUGGCUCCUGACUAGAAAAUCCCAUGUAUUGUAGCUCUAAGUCCCACAUUGCCUCUCAGAUCAAUCACCCAUCUGACAUUUUUUUCUUUCAGCUUUGUUGUGAGUAAUCAACCUGUUCAGGGCUUGGAUUUGUUAAUGACCUUGGUGUUUUAAAGUGCAUAUAUGCAAUGCUUCAGAAGAUUCUUUUUGUUUUGAUUCAGAGGGUUUGACUGAAGAGGAGACAGAAAGCAUUUGGACUACAACACUGCACCAUGGUGAGACCUCAUUCUGGAUGUGACCAAUGAGUUCUCACCAGAAAACCCAAGGAAAUCAUUCUCCAUGUGGGAGGAUGUUGACAAAUACUUCCGAGAUCUCAUCACGAAGAUGACCAGCCUGGAUCCCACCAGAGGGAUCACAGCGAGGGAGGCCCUUGGACAUCCUUGGUUUCAGAACGUAUAGCGGGAACUGAAGAUUAUGCAUGCUAUUUCUCCGCGCCAAACCAACUCAGUUUCCUCUUGCUGAAUCGGCCGCAAUCAAUCUUUUUGGUGAAGUCACAUACUCCGUAGAAAAUUUACGGAUUCCCUUCGAAACUCUUGAAGUUUAAAGUAUAGUAGGUAGAUGCCUGUUUCGAGUCCAGUCUUUGAUGGUCAACAUUCCAUAGUGCUCCUCAGAUUUCAGACCACACGUCGACAAGUAACAAAAACCAAUGAACAGAUUCCUAAAAUAUCGCCAUGCCCCUUUCACCUAGCACAUUAAAAUAUAAUUAAUACCAAACUAACCCUCAGCCAGCAUCAUCUUUCCACAUAUACCCAUGAAAGUGGGCUUCAUUUCUUGAUCAAAUGACGAGAUGCCAUGGCAUUUUUGGAUUUAUCCAACUCAAGAAUAGAAAAAGUGGCUCCUUUGGUCUCUUUUGCUGUUGUGCUCCUUAAAAGCAGAUACUGUGGAAUAUUUUUCAGGGCGGAUAGGGGUAAAGGAUAGAUGGAGAUGAUAGUCGAAGAAGCUAGAGGAUAAAGAUACAAUUUUAAUGAAGGAUAUGGGAGUGGGAAUGGGUUUGAUGGGAUAACAAGGCAAAAUUUGUAUAUAAUAUCCAAGCCUGGCCAGGGGGUUGGCAUCCCUAUCGCUCGCUGGAUGGUUGUAUAGUGCGG